rnacentral:lncRNA from 10 species
GCUCCACCCAGUUCGAGCUUCCUGGCUGCUUUGUUUACCUAAGCAAGCCUGGGCAAUGGUGGGCGCCCCUCCCCCAGCCUGGCUGCUGCCUUGCAGUUUGAUCUCAGACUGCUGUGCUAGCAAUCAGCGAGACUCCGUGGGGUAGGACCCUCAGAGCCAGGUGCGGGGUAUAAUCUCGUGGUGCGCCGUUUUUUAAGCCCGUCGGAAAAGCGCAGUAUUCGGGUGGGAGUGACCCGAUUUUCCAGGUGCUGUCCGUCACCCCUUUCUUUGAUUAGGAAAGGAACUCCCUGACCCCUUGCGCUUCCCGAGUGAGGCAAUGCCUCGCCCUGCUUCGGCUCGCGCACGGUGCGCGCACCCACUGACCUGCGCCCACUGUCUGGCACUCCCUAGUGAGAUGAACCCGGUACCUCAGAUGGAAAUGCAGAAAUCACCCGUCUUCUGCGUCGCUCAGGCUGGGAGCUGUAGACUGGAGCUGUUCCUUUUCGGCCAUCUUGGCGCCUCCCUCAGGUCUCACAGUUUGGAGGAUAGAAUGGGAAAAUGCUGAUUGCAAGUUAUUUCCGACAUCCUUGAACUUACCUCCCACAUGUGAAUCACAGCUUCUACUGCAUGCCCACUCCUUUUGCCUAAAUAUGCAGUUAUCAUCAUACAUCCAGAAUUGCCCUCUGUCCCGGGCUGCAUACAUCAUCAGAGGAGAAUGUUGAUCACCUGUUUCCAAGCCUUGGCAAGGCAAUUCAGGAUAAAUGUUCCAUAAG